UGUACUUGAAAUCUAAUCCUGUUAUAAAUAUCUUACUAUGCAACUGCAUGUUUUUCUGAGCAAACCACUGCCAGCCACAUCACCAUGUAUUCAUUUCUGCAGAGAUCUUGUUACAAAGGCAGAUUUUCUGAGGCUCUACUACAGCUUUACUACACUAUGAAGAACACACGAGAGUAAAGCCCACACCAUUACAUUUUCCGUUAGAAACUCCUCGUGGCUGAAUAACUGGGAGGGUGUUGCAUCCUCUCCCUGCUUCAGCUGGGAGAAGUUUGGGCUGAGCAGGGCAGGAUUUUAUGUUUAUAAGGUGCUGUGCUGGGUUUGUGCAGCAUCACCUUCAGAGAUCUGCCCACUCUAGUGAAAAGCAGGAUUGUAGAGAAGGAUUCAACCCUGGAAAAGCUUGACAUGGACAGAAUUCCCACUGCUGAAUUGUUUCCUUUGUGAAGAACUUAUAUCACAGAUAAUAAAGUUUUAAAUCAAUAGUCUGAACGUAUGCAGAGCUAUAAUCUUUGUAGAUUUGGUAAUCCCCUGUGACAUUUACAGGACAGUUUCUGCAAACUCAGAAUUCCAGAGCUGAAUUAGCAUUUCUGAGGUGUAGGAGAUCCCCUGUGUUCUUGUGAUGUGUGUGGAGCAGCAAAGAAUCAUAAACUCAUGUCUGACAGUGUUUGUAUUUAAGCUUUAGCAACUCCAUUUCAAGAUGUAGGGUGGAAAAAAGGAGGCUGUGGCUGAUUUUCCCUGUCUGGGAGAGUUUUCUGGCAGGAUUUUGAUUCUUUCCCCGUCUCCCUGAGCCGUGUGGAGCCUUGGGAAGCCCGGCACGAGGCCAGCCCUGCUUUGCCCCUGUAACUCACAGAAUCUGUGCCACAGAGUCGGACCCCCAACACCUGCUGGGCGCCUUUCAAGCUGCUUUAACUGGAUCACAAGUUCCCAACUGUAGAUAGAUGUAACAGAGACUAAUCCCAUAAUCUGGACAGAAGUACAAGCCCUGGAUGGAGAGCAGCUCAUGUUACCUCCAGUUGUCCUUCAGUGAUGGCAGGGGAGCUCAGACACUCUCAUCUCCCCCAGCCACUUUUUGGAUGGAACCCUGGAAUUCAAUUGUGCAAAGAUUAAUUAAUAACUCCAUUUCCAUGGCAAGCUCACUGAUUGCUCUGGUGAGUAAACAAUUAAUUUUGUCUGGGUUUUGGGACCAGGGCAUCCACCCCCACAUGCUCCUGGGGGAAG
rnacentral:lncRNA from 1 species